rnacentral:rRNA from 1 species
AUCCAGCUAUGCCGCGUGCAGGAUGAAGGCCUUCGGGUUGUAAACUGCUUUUGUACGGAACGAAAAGCCUGGGGCUAAUAUCCCCGGGUCAUGACGGUACCGUAAGAAUAAGCACCGGCUAACUACGUGCCAGCAGCCGCGGUAAUACGUAGGGUGCAAGCGUUAAUCGGAAUUACUGGGCGUAAAGCGUGCGCAGGCGGUUUUGUAAGACAGGGGUGAAAUCCCCGGGCUCAACCUGGGAACUGCCAUUGUGACUGCAAGGCUAGAGUGCGGCAGAGGGGGAUGGAAUUCCGCGUGUAGCAGUGAAAUGCGUAGAUAUGCGGAGGAACACCGAUGGCGAAGGCAAUCCCCUGGGCCUGCACUGACGCUCAUGCACGAAAGCGUGGGGAGCAAACAGGAUUAGAUACCCUGGUAGUCCACGCCCUAAACGAUGUCAACUGGUUGUUGGGUCUUAACUGACUCAGUAACGAAGCUAACGCGUGAAGUUGACCGCCUGGGGAGUACGCCCGCAAGGUUGAAACUCAA